rnacentral:rRNA from 1 species
CCAGACUCCUACGGGAGGCAGCAGUGAGGAAUAUUGGUCAAUGGACGCAAGUCUGAACCAGCCAAGUAGCGUGCAGGAUGACGGCCCUCCGGGUUGUAAACUGCUUUUAGUUGGGAAUAAAAGGGGGCUCGUGAGCCCCGUAUUGUAUGUACCAUCAGAAAAAGGACCGGCUAAUUCCGUGCCAGCAGCCGCGGUAAUACGGAAGGUCCGGGCGUUAUCCGGAUUUAUUGGGUUUAAAGGGAGCGUAGGCCGGCUUUUAAGUCAGCUGUGAAAGUCCGCGGCUCAACCGUGGAAUUGCAGUUGAAACUGGAGGCCUUGAGUGCACACAGGGAUGCCGGAAUUCAUGGUGUAGCGGUGAAAUGCUUAGAUAUCAUGAAGAACUCCGAUCGCGAAGGCAAGUGUCCGGGGUGCAACUGACGCUGAGGCUCGAAAGUGCGGGUAUCAAACAGGAUUAGAUACCCGAGUA